rnacentral:rRNA from 1 species
GAUGAACGCUGGCGGCGUGCCUAACACAUGCAAGUCGAACGAAGCACCUUGCCUGAUUCUUCGGAUGAAGGUCUGGUGACUGAGUGGCGGACGGGUGAGUAACGCGUGGGUAACCUGCCCUGUACAGGGGGAUAACAGUUGGAAACGGCUGCUAAUACCGCAUAAGCGCACGAGAGGACAUCCUCUUGUGUGAAAAACUCCGGUGGUACAGGAUGGGCCCGCGUCUGAUUAGCUAGUUGGCAGGGUAACGGCCUACCAAGGCGACGAUCAGUAGCCGGUCUGAGAGGAUGAGCUGCCACAUUGGAACUGAGAAACGGUCCAAACUCCUACGGGAGGCAGCAGUGGGGAAUAUUGCAAAAUGGGGGAAACCCUGAUGCAGCAACGCCGCGUGAGUGAAGAAGUAUUUCGGUAUGUAAAGCUCUAUCAGCAGGGAAGAUAAUGACGGUACCUGACUAAGAAGCUCCGGCUAAAUACGUGCCAGCCGCCGCGGUAA